AGUCUGGUGCCAGCAGCCGCGGUAAUUCCAGCUCAUUUAGUGUAUAUUAAAGUUGUUGCAGUUAAAAAGCUCGUAGUCGAUCAUCUAGUGCUGGCUGCUUCGGCUUCGGCUGCGGUACGCGAGUGCUAUCUGCUCGAGAACUUUAUCGGUCUUAACUGGUCGAUGAUGCUGAUCGGGCACUUUCCUGAGAAAAAAUUAGAGUGUUCAAAGCAGGCUAAUGCCUUGAAUAUUACAGCUUGGAAUAAUAGAAUAAGACUGAAGUCUCUUUUGUUGGUUAUGAACUUUAGUAAUGGUUAAUAGGAACAGUCGGGGGUAUUAGUAUUUAAUUGUCAGAGGUGAAAUUCUAUGAUUUAUUAAAGACUAACUUAUGCGAAAGCAUUUGCCAAGGAUGUUUUCAAUUGAUCAAGAACGAAAGUUAGGGGAUCAAAGACGAUCAGAUACCGUCCUAGUCUUAACUAUAAACGAUUCCGACUAUGGAUCAGAAGGGUUUUCCAAUCCCUUUUGGCACAUUAUGAGAAAUCAAAGUCUUUGGGUUCUGGGGGAAGUAUGGACACAAGUCUGAAACUUAAAGGAAUUGACGGAAGGGCACACCAGGUGUGGAGCCUGCGGCUUAAUUUGACUCAACACGGGGAAACUUACUAGGGCAAGACUAAGGUUGGAUUGACAGAUUGAGAGCUCUUUCUUGAUUCUUAGGGUGGUGGUGCAUGGCCGUUCUUAGUUGGUGGAGUGAUUUGUCUGGUUAAUUCCGUUAACGAACGAGACCUCAACCUGCUAAACUAGGAGCCGGAUUAAACAUUCGGUUUCCUUCUUAGAGGGACAAAGUGUUCAAGCACUGGGAAGUGAGGCAAUAACAGGUCUGUGAUGCCCCUAGACGUCCUAGGCCGCACGCGCGCUACAAUGACACGUUCAACGAGUUUCUUCCUGGUCCUGACGGAUUCGGGUAAUCUUCAUAGUACGUGUCGUGCUUUGGGAUAGUCCUUUGCAAUUAUAGGACUUAAACUAGGAAUACCUAGUAUAGGUAAGUCAUCAGCUUGCCUAGAUUAUGUCCCUGCCCUUUGUACACACCGCCCGUCGCUCCUACCGAUUUUGAGUGAUUAGGUGAACCUUCUGGAUCAGAGUAGUCUUCAAGGCUGUUCUGAGAAGUUAAGUAAAUCAUUAUCACUUAGAGGAAGGAGAAGUCGUAACAAGGUUUCCGUAGGUGAACCUGCGGAAG
rnacentral:rRNA from 1 species